rnacentral:rRNA from 1 species
CCUACGGGGGGCUGCAGUGAGGAAUCUUGCGCAAUGGGGGAAACCCUGACGCAGCAACGCCGCGUGAGUGAGGAAGGUCUUCGGAUCGUAAAGCUCUGUCGGGUGGAAAGAAAUGUAUGGGGUUAAUAGCCUUCAUACUUGACGGUACCACCAAAGGAAGCACCGGCUAACUCCGUGCCAGCAGCCGCGGUAAUACGGGGGGUGCAAGCGUUGUUCGGAAUGCGUGGGCGUAGAUAGCGUGGUGGCAUGUGAAAGCCCUGGGCUUAACCCAGGAAGUGCAUUUGAAACUGCCAGGCUUGAGUAGGGGAGAGGGAAGUGAAAUUCCUGGUGUAGAGGUGAAAUUCGUAGAUAUCAGGAGGAACACCGGUGGCGAAGGCGACUUCCUGGCCCUAUACUGACGCUGAGACGCGAGAGCGUGGGUAGCAAACAGGAUUAGAUACCCUAGUAGUC